rnacentral:rRNA from 1 species
UACGAAGGGGCUAGCGUUGUUCGGAAUCACUGGGCGUAAAGCGCACGUAGGCGGAUUGUUAAGUCGGGGGUGAAAUCCUGAGGCUCAACCUCAGAACUGCCUCCGAUACUGGCAAUCUCGAGUCGGAAGAGGUUGGUGGAACAGCUAGUGUAGAGGUGAAAUCGUAGAUAUUAGCUAGAACACCAGUGGCGAAGGCGGCCAACUGGUCCGAUACUGACGCUGAGGUGCGAAAGCGUGGGGAGCAAACAGG